rnacentral:rRNA from 1 species
AACGAACGCUGGCGGCAGGCUUAACACAUGCAAGUCGAGCGCCCCGCAAGGGGAGCGGCAGACGGGUGAGUAACGCGUGGGAAUCUACCCAUCUCUACGGAAUAACGCAUGGAAACGUGUGCUAAUACCGUAUACGUCUUUCGGGAGAAAGAUUUAUCGGAGAUGGAUGAGCCCGCGUUGGAGUAGCUAGUUGGUGGGGUAAAGGCCUACCAAGGCGACGAUCCAUAGCUGGUCUGAGAGGAUGAUCAGCCACACUGGGACUGAGACACGGCCCAGUCUCCUACGGGAGGCAGCAGUGGGGAAUAUUGGACAAUGGCCCAAAGCCUGAUCCAGCCAUGCCGCGUGAGUGAUGAAGGCCCUAGGGUUGUAAAGCUCUUUCACCGGUGAAGAUAAUGACGGUAACCGGAGAAGAAGCCCCGGCUAAGUUCGUGCCAGCCGCCGCGGUAAGAC